GAUGAACGCUAGCGGCAGGCCUAACACAUGCAAGUCGAGGGAGAAGCCCUUUCGGGGGCAGAAACCGGCGCACGGGUGCGUAACGCGUAUGCAACCUACCUUUCACAGGGGGAUAGCCCGAAGAAAUUUGGAUUAAUACCCCAUAAUAUUAUUGGAUGGCAUCAUUUGAUAAUUAAAACUGCGGUGGUGAAAGAUGGGCAUGCGUCCUAUUAGCUAGUUGGAGUGGUAACGGCACCCCAAGGCUACGAUAGGUAGGGGUCCUGAGAGGGAGAUCCCCCACACUGGUACUGAGACAGGGACCAGACGCCUACGGGAGGCAGCAGUGAGGAAUAUUGGUCAAUGGUCGGAAGACUGAACCAGCCAUGCCGCGUGCAGGAAGAAUGCCUUAUGGGUUGUAAACUGCUUUUAUAUGGGAAGAAUAAGGUGUACGUGUACAUUGAUGACGGUACCAUAUGAAUAAGCAUCGGCUAACUCCGUG
rnacentral:rRNA from 1 species